ACUCCUACGGGAGGCAGCAGUGGGGAUAUUGGACAAUGGGGCGAACCCUGAUCCAGCCAUGCCGCGUGUGUGAAGAAGGCCUUUGGUUGUAAAGCACUUUAAGCAGGGAGGAGAGGCUAAUGGUUAAUACCCAUUAGAUUAGACGUUACCUGCAGAAUAAGCACCGGCUAACUCUGUGCCAGCAGCCGCGGUAAUACAGAGGGUGCGAGCGUUAAUCGGAAUUACUGGGCGUAAAGCGAGUGUAGGUGGCUCAUUAAGUCACAUGUGAAAUCCCCGGGGCUUAACCUGGGGAACUGCAUGUGAUACUGGUGGUGCUAGAAUAUGUGAGAGGGAAGUAGAAUUCCAGGUGUAGCGGUGAAAUGCGUAGAGAUCUGGAGGAAUACCGAUGGCGAAGGCAGCUUCCUGGCAUAAUAUUGACACUGAGAUUCGAAAGCGUGGGUAGCAAACA
rnacentral:rRNA from 1 species